ACGGCUCAGUAACACGUAGGUAACCUACCCUUCGGACGGGCACAACCCCGGGAAACUGGGGCUAAUUCCCGAUAGGUACCCCCUUCUGGAAUGUGGGGAUAUCCAAAGCUCCGGCGCCGAAGGAUGGGCCUGCGGCCGAUUAGGUUGUUGGCGGGGUAACAGCCCACCAAGCCGACGAUCGGUACGGGCAGUGAGAGCUGUAGCUCGGAGAUGGGGACUGAGACAAGGCCCCAGGCCCUACGGGGCGCAGCAGGCGCGAAACCUUCACAAUGCACGAAAGUGUGAUGAGGGUGCUCCGAGUGCGCAUACAUUGUAUGUGCUUUUCUGCAGCGUAAAUAGUUGCAGGAAUAAGGGCUGGGCAAGACCGGUGCCAGCCGCCGCGGUAACACCGGCAGCCCUAGUGGUGGCCGCUUUUAUUGGGCCUAAAGCGUCCGUAGCCGGACAGGCGAGUCUUUGGGUAAAUCCUACGUCUUAAGCGUGGGAAUUCUAAAGAUACUACCUGUCUUGAGGCCGGGAGAGGCUGGAGGUACUCCUGGGGUAGGGGUAAAAUCCUAUAAUCCUGGGGGGACCACCGAUGGCGAAGGCAUCCAGCUGGAACGGGCCUGACGGUGAGGGACGAAACCCAGGGGAGCGAGCCGGAUUAGAUACCCGGGUAGUCCUGGGCGUAAAUGAUGUGGGCUUGGUGUGAGCGCAUCGACGAGGUGCGCUUGUGCCGUAGGGAAGCCGUUAAGCCCACCGCCUGGGGAGUACGGUCGCAAGGCUGAAACUUAAAGGAAUUGGCGGGGGAG
rnacentral:rRNA from 1 species